rnacentral:rRNA from 1 species
GGUGAACGCUGGCGGCGUGCCUAAUACAUGCAAGUCGAGCGAACGGACGAUAAGCGUUCUUCUCUGAUGUUAGCGGCUGACGGGUGAGUAACACGUAGAUAACCUACCUAUAAGACUUGGGGAACUUCGGGAAACCGGAGCUAAUACCGGAUAAUAUUUUGUACCGCAUGGUUCAAAAGUUAAAGACGCUCUGGCUGUCACUUAUAGAUGGAUCCGCGCUGCAUUAGCUAGGUGGUAAGGUAACGGCUUACCAAGGCAACGAUGCAUAGCCGACCUGAGAGGGUGAUCGGCCACACUGGAACUGAGACACGGUCCAGACUCCUACGGGAGGCAGCAGUAGGGAAUCUUCCGCAAUGGGCGAAAGCCUGAAGGAGCAACGCCGCGUGAGUGAUGAAGGUCUUCGGAUCGUAAAACUCUGUUAUUAGGGAAGAACAUCUGUGUAAGUAACUGUGCAUAUUCUGACGGUACCUAAUCAGAAAGCAACGGCUAACUACGUG